UUAAGAAGAGAGAUUUGCUGACAAUGGAUUCAAGAUCAGUACUUACCAAUACAACAUUUAUCAUAACAGUAAAAGAAAUACAAGCCAACGAGUCACUAUAAAGCUCUCUCAGCAGCCUAAUUCACCUUUCACCAGGACUAUUAUACUAAGUACAAAGCAAAAGCUACAAGAGAGCAUCUCAGCAAGAAUAAAGUACAUAUGCCUGGAAUGAGUAGCAGAAUCCAAAAUAGAAUUUGCAGCAAGAAUGGAAGACUGCAGUCAACAUAUGAUCCCUAGUCAUUCCUAAAGAUCUUGAACAUCUGUGCCAAGAAGAAGUCAAGCUUUCCCAUCCUAUUGCAGAAAAUUGGUAGCCAUUUAUUCUAAACAACUCAUAGCUGUCACUGCUGAAAACACUGUGUAUUGCUGUGUAGGAUUUUUAUUCUUACUUUUCCAAUAUUGUUGUUUGCUAAAAGUGUACACUUUGUUAUAUACUGUAUAUUACUAUAAUAAAAA